GACGAACGCUGGCGGCGUGCCUAAUACAUGCAAGUCGAACGAGUGGCGGACGGGUGAGUAAUGUCUGGCAAAUUGCCUGAUGUAGGGGGUUAACUACUGGAAUCGGUAGCUAAUACCGCAUCCCAUCAGAUGUGCCAAUAUGGGAUUAGCUUGUUGGGGGGGUAACGGCUCACCAAGGCGACGAUCCUUAGCUGGUCUGAGAGGAUGACCAGCCACACUGGAACUGAGACACGGUCCAGACUCCUACGUGAGGCAGCAGUGGGGAAUAUUGGACAAUGGGCGCAAGCCUGAUGCAGCCAUCCCGCGUGUAUGAAGAAGGCCUUCGGGUUGUAAAGUACUUUCGGCGGGGAGGCGGUACCUGCAGAAGAAGCACCGGCUAACUCCGUGCCAGCAGCCGCGGUAAUUC
rnacentral:rRNA from 1 species